rnacentral:tRNA from 1 species
AAUGGCUGAUAAAAGCAUUAGACUGUAAAUCUAAAGAUAGGGGUUUA